AUGAUUUACAUUUGAGUGAGUGGCGAACUGGUGAGUAACACGUGGGAAACCUGCCCAGAAGCGGGGGAUAACACCUGGAAACAGAUGCUAAUACCGCAUAACAACUUGGACCGCAUGGUCCGAGUUUGAAAGAUGGCUUCGGCUAUCACUUUUGGAUGGUCCCGCGGCGUAUUAGCUAGAUGGUGGGGUAACGGCUCACCAUGGCAAUGAUACGUAGCCGACCUGAGAGGGUAAUCGGCCACAUUGGGACUGAGACACGGCCCAAACUCCUACGGGAGGCAGCAGUAGGGAAUCUUCCACAAUGGACGAAAGUCUGAUGGAGCAACGCCGCGUGAGUGAAGAAGGGUUUCGGCUCGUAAAACUCUGUUGUUAAAGAAGAACAUAUCUGAGAGUAACUGUUCAGGUAUUGACGGUAUUUAACCAGAAAGCCACGGCUAACUACGUGCCAGCAGCCGCGGUAAUACGUAGGUGGCAAGCGUUGUCCGGAUUUAUUGGGCGUAA
rnacentral:rRNA from 1 species